rfam:Oryza glaberrima chromosome 2 Oglab02_0006_7, whole genome shotgun sequence.
GGCGCCGCCGCCUCGGGCUCGCUUGGUGCAGAUCGGGACCCGCCGCCGCCGCUGCCGGGGCCGGAUCCCGCCUUGCACCAAGUGAAUCGGAGCCGGCGUAGCGC